AAUCCGUGCAUUAGACAUUUUCGAAUUAAGUUUUUAAAUUGGUCCCAAGCUUCAUAUAAUGUUUCAUCCUCCAAUUGUCGAAAAGAUGUGAUGUCAUUUCUAAGCUU
rnacentral:snoRNA from 1 species